rnacentral:rRNA from 1 species
AUUGAACGCUGGCGGCAGGCCUAACACAUGCAAGUCGAACGGUAACAGGAAGCAGCUUGCUGCUUCGCUGACGAGUGGCGGACGGGUGAGUAAUGUCUGGGAAGCUGCCUGAUGGAGGGGGAUAACUACUGGAAACGGUAGCUAAUACCGCAUAAUGUCGCAAGACCAAAGAGGGGGACCUUCGGGCCUCUUGCCAUCGGAUGUGCCCAGAUGGGAUUAGCUUGUUGGUGGGGUAACGGCUCACCAAGGCGACGAUCCCUAGCUGGUCUGAGAGGAUGACCAGCCACACUGGAACUGAGACACGGUCCAGACUCCUACGGGAGGCAUCAGUGGGGAAUAUUGCACAAUGGGCGCAAGCCUGAUGCAGCCAUGCCGCGUGUAUGAAGAAGGCCUUCGGGUUGUAAAGUACUUUCAGCGGGGAGGAAGGGAGUAAAGUUAAUACCUUUGCUCAUUGACGUUACCCGCAGAAGAAGCACCGGCUAACUACGUG